AUUGAACGCUGGCGGCAGGCCUAACACAUGCAAGUCGAGCGGAUGAGGAGAGCUUGCUCUCUGAUUUAGCGGCGGACGGGUGAGUAAUGCCUAGGAAUCUGCCUGGUAGUGGGGGAUAACGUUCCGAAAGGAACGCUAAUACCGCAUACGUCCUACGGGAGAAAGCAGAGGACCUUCGGGCCUUGCGCUAUCAGAUGAGCCUAUGUCGGAUUAGCUAGUUGGUGGGGUAAUGGCUCACCAAGGCGACGAUCCGUAACUGGUCUGAGAGGAUGAUCAGUCACACUGGAACUGAGACACAGUCCAGCAUCCUACGGGAGGAGGCAGUGGGGAAUAUUGGACAAUAGGCGAAAGCCUGAUCCAGCCAUGCCGCGUGUGUGAAGAAGGUCUUCGGAUUGUAAAGCACUUUAAGUUGUGAGGAAGGGUUGUAGAUUAAUACUCUGCAAUUUUGACGUUACCAACAGAAUAAGCACCGGCUAACUUCGUGCCAGCCGCCGCUGUAAAAC
rnacentral:rRNA from 1 species